ACGGGUGAGUAACACGUAGGAAUCUGCCCGAUAGUGGGGGACAACGUCUCGAAAGGGACGCUAAUACCGCAUACGCCCUAAGGGGAAAAGCAGGGGAUCUUCGGACCUUGCGCUAUCGGAUGAGCCUGCGUCGGAUUAGCUAGUUGGUGGGGUAAAGGCCCACCAAGGCGACGAUCCGUAGCUGGUCUGAGAGGAUGAUCAGCCACACCGGAACUGAGACACGGUCCGGACUCCUACGGGAGGCAGCAGUGGGGAAUAUUGGACAAUGGGGGCAACCCUGAUCCAGCCAUGCCGCGUGUGUGAAGAAGGCCUUCGGGUUGUAAAGCACUUUAAGCUGGGAGGAAGGUUUCUUGGCUAAUAUCCAAGAGAAUUGACGUUACCAGCAGAAUAAGCACCGGCUAACUCCGUGCCAGCAGCCGCGGUAAUACGGAGGGUGCAAGCGUUAAUCGGAAUUACUGGGCGUAAAGCGCGCGUAGGCGGCUUGAUAAGUCGGAUGUGAAAUCCCUGGGCUCAACCUGGGAACUGCAUUCGAUACUGUCUGGCUAGAGUGUGGGAGAGGGUGGUGGAAUUCCCGGUGUAGCGGUGAAAUGCGU
rnacentral:rRNA from 1 species